AGUAGUCAUAUGCUUGUCUCAAGAUUUAAAGCCAUGCAAUGUGUAAAGUAUGAACUAAUUCAAGCUGUGAAACUGCGAAUGGCUCAUUAAUGCAGUUAUAGUUUGUUUGAUGCGUAAUCUGCUACUCGGAUAACCGUAGUAAUUUAGACGCUAAUACGUGCACAAACCCCCGACUGUCUGGAAGGGAUGCAUUUAUUAGAUAAAAGGUCGAAUCGCGGGCUCUGCACGUUGCUCUGAUGAUCAUGAUACUCGACGGAUCGCACGGCCAAUGGCGUGCCGGCGACGCAUCAUUCAAAAUUUCCUGCCCUAUCAACUUUCGAUGGUAGGAUAGAGGCCUACCAUGGUGGUGACGGUGACGGAGAAUUAGGGUUUCGAUUUCCGGAGAGGGCAGCCUGAGAAACCGGCUAGCCACAAUCCAAGGAAGGCAGCAGGCGGCGCAAAUUACCGCAAUCCUGACACGGGAAGGUAGUGACAAUAAAUAACAAUGACCGGGCUCUUCGAGUCUGGUAAAUUCUGGUAAUGAGUACAAAUCUAAAUCCCUUUAACGAGGAUCCAUUGGAGGGCAAAGUCUGGUGCGCAGCCAUGGCGGUAAUUCCAGCGCUCCAAUAGGCGUAUAUUCAAGUUUGUUGCAGUUAAAAAGCUCGUAGUUUGGACGCUUGGGUUGGUCCGACCGUCCGCCUGCGCGGAUGUGCAAACACUGUCGCUCGUCCCUUCUGCACGGCGAUGCGCUGCUGGCCUUAACUGGCCGGUUCGUGCCUCCGGCGCUGUUACUUUGAAGAAAAAUUAGAGUGCUCAAGCAAGACUACGCUCUGGAUUACAUUAGGCAUGGGAUAAAAACAUCAUAGGAUUAUUCGGUCGCUAUUGUGUUGGCCUUCGGGAUCGGAGUAAUGGAUUAAACAGGGACAGUCGGGGGCAAAUUCGUAUUUCAUGAGUCAGAGGUGAAAUUCUUGGAUUUAUGAAAAGACGAACAACUGUCGAAAGCAUUUUGCCAAGCGGAAUGUUUUCAUUAAUCAAGAACGAAAGUUUGGGGGCUCGAAGACGAAUCAAGAUACGCGUCCUAGUCUCAACCUAAACGAUGCCCGACGCAGGGAUCGGCGGAAUGUACUUUUUAGGACUCCGCCGGCACCUUAUGAGAAUCAAAGUCCUUUGGUUCCGGGAGGGAGUAGUGGUCGCAGGCCUGAACUAAAGAAUUGACGGAAGGGCACCACCAGGAGUGGAGGCCUGCGGCUUAAUUUGACCUCAACAGCGGGGAAACUUACCAGGUCGCAGACAUAGUAAGGAAUUGACAAGAUCGAGAGCUUCUUUCUUUGAUUCUAUGGUGGUGGGUGCAUGGCCGUUCUUAGGUUGGUGGAGGCGAUUUGUCUGGUUAAAUUCCGUUAACAGAACGAGACGCUCAGCCGCUAACUAGCUAUGCUGGAGGUGAACCCUCCGCGGCCAGCUUCUUAGAGGGACUAUGGCCUUUUUAGGCCAAGGGAAGUAUGAGGCAUAACAUGGUCUGUGAUUGCCUUAGAUGUUCUGGCCCGCACGCGCGCUACACUGAUGUAUUCGAACGAGUCUAUAGCCUGGCCGACAGGCCCGGGUAACUUUGAAAAUUUCAUCGUGAUGGGGAUAGAUGCAUUGCAAUUGGUUGGUCUUCAACGAGGAAUUCCUAGUAAGCGCGAAGUCAUCAGCUCGCGUUGACUAACGUCCCUUGCCCUUUGUACACACCGCCCGUCGCUCCCUACCAGAUUGAAAUGGGUCCGGUGAAGUGGUUCGAUCGCGGCGCACGUGGCGGUUCGCGCGCCGGCGACGUUCGCGAGAGUUCACUGAACCUUAUCAUUUAGAGGAAUGAGAAGUCGUGAACAGGUUCCGUAGGUGAACCCUGCGGAAG
rnacentral:rRNA from 1 species